rnacentral:rRNA from 1 species
AUACGUAGGGGGCGAGCGUUGUCCGGAAUGAUUGGGCGUAAAGGGCGCGUAGGCGGCCCGGUAAGUCUGGAGUGAAAGUCCUGUUUUUAAGAUGGGAAUUGCUUUGGAUACUGUCGGGCUUGAGUGCAGGAGAGGUAAGUGGAAUUCCCAGUGUAGCGGUGAAAUGCGUAGAGAUUGGGAGGAACACCAGUGGCGAAGGCGACUUACUGGACUGUAACUGACGCUGAGGCGCGAAAGUGUGGGGAGCAAACAGGAUUAGAUACCCUGGUAGUCCACACUGUAAACGAUGAAUGCGAGGUGUAGGGGGUAUCGACCCCUUCUGUGCCGCAGUCAACACAAUAAGCAUUCCGCCUGGGGAGUACGGCCGCAAGGUUGAAACUCAAAUGAAUUGACGGGU